rnacentral:rRNA from 1 species
UCAGACGAUGCGUCAUGCAUUAUCAAUAAGCGGAGGAAAAGAAACUAACAAGGAUUCCCCUAGUAACGGCGAGUGAAGCGGGAAGAGCUCAAAUUUGAAAUCUUAAAGGGUUUCCCUUUACGAAUUGUAGUUUAAAGAAGUGUUUUCUGUUGAGGUUUUGGUAAAAGUUCUUUGGAAUAGGACAUCAUAGAGGGUGAGAAUCCCGUAUUUGACCUUUACUUUCAACUUUGUGAUACACUUUCAAAGAGUCGGAUUGUUUGGGAAUGCAGUCCAAAAUGGGUGGUAAAUUUCAUCUAAAGCUAAAUAUUGGCGAGAGACCGAUAGCGAACAAGUACCGUGAGGGAAAGAUGAAAAGAACUUUGAAAAGAGAGUUAAACAGUACGUGAAAUUGUCAAAAGGGAAGCGUUUGACACCAGUGUUGUUCUUCUGAAAAUCAAUUAAAGAACUGUUUAUGCUAAGCUGUUUAGACUUUAUCAGCUAUCUGUUUAGUUUUAGGCUUUUCUUUAAUGCACUUUUCAGUUAACAAGUCAACAUCAAUUUCUUUUGCUGUAAAAAAGCUUGAGGAAGGUGGCUUGAGAUUCGUCUUAAGUGUUUAUAGCCUCUUGCCUAUGCAGUCGGAGAGAUUGAGGUCUGCAGCGUAGAUCCUUCGGGGCUAAAUGCAUUUGUGCUAAGUUAUAGCAUUUUAUAGACAACUUGUUGACUAUGAUUUGUCUUGUAGCUUACUCGCUUAUGUUAUUUUACCUACGCUUAGGAUGUUGACACACGCGCGUGCUCG